GAGACCUCUUCCCUUUCACGCCCAUCUAUCUGGCUAACUGAAACACCGGCACCUGAACGUGACACAGAUGUUUCCUAUGAUUCUCACGCACGAGACUCUUUUAUCGUUAUUUCAAGUUUCCAGCUGCUGAUCCGCUGCUAUCUUCACCUGCUGCACCAACAUGGCCGCGAACCCUCCAGGACAAGCCUUCCCAAACAAAACCCGGGUUGCGAUCCUGGCCGAGCUGGAGAAGGAGCGGUGGCGGCUGCUGCAGAAUCCAUCCAUGAACGCUGCUGGAGGCAGAUCGAGUCUGAAGGAUUUCAGAGACAACGCAGAUCAGCAGCACAUCGCUGCUCAGCAGAAAGCUGCUCUGCAGCACGCACACACGCACUCAUCGGGCUUCUUCAUCACUCAGGACUCGUCUUUCGGGAACCUCAUCCUCCCCGUCCUCCCGCGCCUGGAGCCUGAGUCCUGACCUUCUGCCACGGAUCUGCCUCCAAGCUGCCUGAGACAAAAUCAAAAAUCACGUCAGACCAACGAGUCGGCUGCUUAUUUAUAGAGAAGCUUUCAAACAGAAACCUCCUGAUCUUCUACGGCAAACUACAGAAAUCCUGCUGAUCCAUAAAUGCACAUUUCCUCAGAUGAAGGGUGAGUGCACGAACGAGAACGUGGCUCUGGAGGAUAUCAGCGGACAUUCAGGUUAUAAACAUGGUGUAAAUGAGUGUCAGGGCUUACAGACGACACCACGAGCAGGAUGUUUUCUGCUGUUCUGUUGAAGAACUGGUCACCAUAUACUUCAACUGCAAUUGAUUUGGAUGCAACUAUGUUAACCCCUAAAAGUCUGAAAGUGUUUUGUAGACUCAAACACUUCACCCAGACCCCAUCCCUUUAAGUUUGGUUUACUUGCAUGGCCAAGCUCAACUUUACCUUCUUGGACAGACGCUCUUCGACAAUCCUCUCCCGUCCCUGGCUGGAGUCUCCGCAGCUGAUGCUCUGGUCGCUGAGGGACCAGCGGUAGGCGUGUCCAGCACCACAGCCCCACAUGAUGACAGGGCCCGUGGUGGUGUGGGGUUCUGGCAUCAGCACGUUAACGUGAGAGCCCCGGGCUCUGUGUUGCAUGCUGGGAAUGAGGUUGCAGAUGGUGGCGUGGCUGUGAGCCCAGAGGACGAGUUUGCAGAGACUGUCGGAGGUGGGGUGAACAUGUUGGAAGCCCGCAGCAGAGAGAGAGAGAGAAGAGACAGUGUCUACAGCUUUCAAAGUUUUUACCUGAAUGACUUCACCAAAGCUCAUCAAGGUUUUGACGUCCAAACUGCUUCUUUACGUCUGUUUCUUGCUCCGCUGAUAUAAGUUUAGAUGUUAGUACUUUUAUCAUGUUGAAAUAAAUAACUGUAGUAAAUCCAACCUGACAGAGACGUCUCUAGCACUUUGUUGAAGUUUGUAAGCCCAUAAAA